CACUGUUGCUUUGCUCUCCCUGUCACAGAAUCACAGCAUGUCUUGAGCUGUGUGGGACCCACAUGGACCAUUGAGUCCAGUCCCUCCUGUUGUACUGCACAUCCUUUCAUCUUUCUCCUUUUUUCCUUCUUCUCUCACCACAAUGGUCAAAUUAUCGACUCAAGGCUGUUUAUCUGAAUAUUUCAUCCCCCUGAGCCUUCCCACAAUACAACUUGAAGUAUUGAUACGUUUUUGUGCUUAUUAUUUCUAAUGGCUUAUUCAUUCCCUUCCCUCCUCACAAUAGAGCCUGUAGGGUGACCUCAACUGUAAGGAAUGGCAAAGGACUGAGUGAAAAGGCACUCUACCUUGGGGUGUGACACACCAUCUAAAGGACAGGAUUCUUCUUGUCUGUGUGAUUAAAUGCCAUAAGUACAUCUGCUCUGCCUGAAAACAUGCUUCUGCACUCUGCCACAGAAAGAGUUUGGUCCCUUGAAUAAAUGAGCCUGAGCUCUGGACUCAAAAUCCACGGCUUAUGAGCAUGCUACAGAUAUUAGUCACAUUGUCUAAUGCAAUGCUGGAAAGCCCUUGGAUGCUACAGCGACAGGCACAGUGUGAGCACUUGUACGAACUAGAAUAAAAAAGCUGCUUCCUGCAAGCAGUCAUGAGCAGGCUUAAUGUAAUUCAGUUUCUAGCAGAGGAAGUCUGCCCGACCCACUCAUUUUCCCUCCCUCUCUGCUGAAUGAGUUUGAUAUCUGUGUUAUUGAAGAAGAGUCAAGUCAAAUAGAAGAGGCUUGCGUUUAUGUCCUGAUUCAGAAAAGCGCUUGAGAACCUACUUCGCUUUAAGGUGAUGGUUAGAGCUGAGCAUCUGUGUGAGUGCUCUGCUUCACUUGGGCCGUGACCCAGAUCCAAAGCAAGCCCUGUGUACCUGAUGUGGUCCUACAAGAAAGCUCACUCCUUGUAUUAAUGAGGUAGACUUUCUCAAAAUCCUAUUCAAGUUGUCCAAGUGGGGUAGAUAAUCUCUCCCCAUUUCUCUGAUGUAAAUCUUUCUCUUUAUGCCCCAACAAAGUCUCAGAGCUCCUCAGCCUUGGUGGAGAUGCACACACCCAGGCAGCAGAGCAUCCUGUGUGCCCCCCAAGAGUGUCGGAGCACCACAACACGUCUUGCUGGUGAGGGAGGCAGGCAGGGGGUAGGAGGGCAGCGGGGUCCUCCUCUGUGAUGUGCUGGUGAGAGCAGGGCAAGAACACAGGAACAGUGCCCUGACAUCAUGCAGUUCUGUGUUAUGGCUUAAAAAUGAGUCUUGUUGCAUGAUCGUGAGAUGGCAACUUAAGACAAGCAUUCCUGCAGCUGGGAGCCAUGCCGGGCAGGGAGGAGAGGGCAGCAAAGCAGAUGAAUUCCACAGUGCCAUUCUGUCACCAACCAGACAAAUGCCACCUCGGGCUGCCUUGUGGCUGCUGUGACCACCAUGGAGAGAGAUCCGCAUUCAAGCACCACACACUGUGCAUGAGUUCAGGAAUGCAAACCUCAUCUUGGCACAGCCUGGAGAGCAAAGGAUUGAGCAAGAGUCCUGGAGGGAAGGACUGAGGAUAUCACCCAGUUUAUAAAGAAGCAAGCUGCUGGAGUGCUCAGAGCAUGCCCCGGGUGGGCAAUGCAGCGUGCCAGAGAUAUCACACCUUGCAGAGGCUGCCGAGACCCUGCCACGAGCCAGCAGUGCUUGAGGGCAUCACACAGAGGAACCAGGCUCUCCCGAGCAGACAAGGCUCUAAAAAAACCUUAGACACAGCUAAAUGAGUGGCAAAGAUAAAAGAGCAGAGAUAAGAGAUUAGAACUCGUAUAUGACAACAACACAAUCUUCAUAUCUGCGGUAGAUGAGCAGGUAAAAGAGCCAUAUUCAAGCACUUGAAGUAUUGUCUUGAGAAACACGGAGUAAUUAGCCUAUCAGGAGGUGGAUCAUACUUUGCUUGCCUUGAAUUCGGGAUGGGGUUGCAAAGGAAGUUUGGGUCACCUGUAAAUGGGGAUCUCUGUACAAACUGGGGGUUGCUGCAUUGUGAAUGCUGCUGUGCUGGGAGGGCUGCCUUCUCUUUAAUUACAAAGGUAAAAUGGCCUUAAUCUGAACAGAGCAAACAGUCUGACACUAUUGACGCCCA